rnacentral:rRNA from 1 species
AGAGUUUGAUCCUGGCUCAGGAUGAACGCUAGCGGCAGGCCUAACACAUGCAAGUCGAGGGGUAACAGGGGAGCUUGCUCCCGCUGACGACCGGCGAAUGGGUGCGUAACGCGUAUGGAACCUUCCCACCGCAGGGGGGAUAGCCCGUCGAAAGGCGGAUUAAUACCCCAUGGUCCCUAAGCUCCGCAUGGGGUUUUGGGUAAAGCCUUCGGGCGGGGGUGGAUGGCCAUGCGUGCCAUUAGCUAGACGGUGGGGUAACGGCCCACCGUGGCGAUGAUGGCUAGGGGGUCUGAGAGGAUGGUCCCCCACACUGGUACUGAGACACGGACCAGACUCCUACGGGAGGCAGCAGUGAGGAAUAUUGGUCAAUGGGCGGAAGCCUGAACCAGCCAUGCCGCGUGCAGGAUUGACGGCCCUACGGGUUGUAAACUGCUUUUGCGCGGGAAGAAUAACCCCCUCGUGAGGGGGGAUGCCGGUACCGCGCGAAUAAGGAUCGGCUAACUCCGUGCCAGCAGCCGCGGUAAUACGGAGGAUCCGAGCGUUAUCCGGAUUUACUGGGUUUAAAGGGUGCGUAGGCGGGCUCUUAAGUCUGCGGUGAAAGUCAUCGGCUCAACCGGUGGAUUGCCGUGGAUACUGGGGGCCUUGGGUACGGUCGGGGCCGGCGGAAUGCGUGGUGUAGCGGUGAAACGCUUAGAUAUCACGCGGAACGCCGAUCGCGAAGGCAGCUGGCCAGGCCGUUACCGACGCUGAGGCACGAAAGCGUGGGGAUCAAACAGGAUUAGAUACCCUGGUAGUCCACGCCGUAAACGAUGAUCACUGGGUGCCGGCGACACACCGUCGGUGCCUGAGCGAAAGCAUUAAGUGAUCCAUCUGGGGAGUACGAUCGCAAGGUUGAAACUCGAAAGGAAUUGACCGGGGGCCCGCACAAGCGAAGGAACAUGUUGUUUAAAUUCCAUGAUACCCGAAGAAACCUUACCUGGGGUCCAAACGC